GUAUGUUUUUUGUUGCCGUUGAGAAGCAAGCACAGAACAGGCAGCGAAUGAUGGCCGAAGAUUUAAAGGGUUUGGAUGGACAAAGCAGCGGAGAGAAGCUAUGGUGCUGAGCUGUUAUUGAAGCAAAAUCCUGUACUGCUUUCACUCGGAUGCAUGCAAUUCUGAGAAAUGCUCUACUCUGCCUAGAAAGAUGCAAAUCAUUGAAAACAUUGAAGCAAAUUCAUGCUCAAGUUCUCAUCAGCGGGCUUCAGAACGAGAACUAUGUGGCAGUUAAGCUUGUGUCAUUUUGCAGCAAGACAUUGGGGAAUGUUGAUCAUGCCCGUAGAAUUUUUGAUUCCUGUAAAAGUUCAGCAAAUGUUUUCCUAUGGACAACAAUGGUCGUAUCAUAUUCCAACCAUCAAACCAAGAUUGUGAAGGAGGCCAUAUCAAUAUAUAGGAUGAUGCAUGAACGUGGAGUUCAUCCAAACAAUUUUACUUUGUCUUCUGUGCUUAAAGCUUGUUCACUUCUUAAGGCCAUCAGUGAAGGGGAACAAAUCCAUGCUCAUUCAACUAAACUUGGAUUUAGUUCCUCUCCUUAUGUCGUAACAACACUGCUAGAUAUGUAUUCCAAGUUUGGUUACAAACAAGAAACAAAACAUCUAUUCAGGACUACGCCGGAAAAAAAUGUUGCAGUGUGCAAUACUAUGAUUGCAUAUUAUGCCAAAGUUGGUGAUUUGGAGACUGCUAAAAGUGUUUUUGAUGAAAUGGUUCACAGAGAUUCAAUUUCAUGGAGUAUCAUGAUAUCCAGUUAUGCUGACAAUGGCAAUAUGUCGGCUGCUAGGGAGAUUUUUGAUCAAAAUCCAGAGAAAAAUAUUAAGUCUUGGAAUUGUUUGAUGGUUGGUUAUUCUCGUAAUGGAAGGUGGAGUGAUUGUAUACAGCUCUUCAAUGAGAUGGCUUCCAGUCAUAUGAGAGCCAAUCAUGUUACCAUGACCACGAUGAUGUCUGCUUGCAGUCAAUUAGGUGCUCUAAAAGUUGGUAGGCAAUUCCAUGGAAUCUUAUAUAAAAGUUGCAUUGAGAUUGAUACUUUUGUGUACAAUUCUUUGGUUGACAUGUAUGGUAAAUGUGGUGCUAUACGUGAAGCUUACCAAGUUUUUACUGAGCUACCAAUCAAGGAUGUAGUCUCAUAUAAUGUGAUGAUUUGUGGCUUUGUAAACCAUGGAUAUGGAGAAGAUGCCUUGAAGCUAGUUCCUGAGAUGCAAGAAAAAGAUAUCCAGCCUGAUAGGGUUACAUUUAUUGGCAUUUUAAAUGCUUGCAGUCAAACUGGUCAUCUCGAGUUAUGUCAAUAUUAUUUCAAUUGCAUGAGAAGUAACUAUGGAGUUGAGCGUUCUGUUGAUCAUUAUGCUUGCAUGGUUGAUCUUUUUGGUCGAGCAGGAUUUAUAGAGGAGGCCUACAACUUGGUUAAGACUAUGUCAGUUGAACCCCAUGCUGGGGUUUGGGGAGCCCUUCUACAUGCUUGUGUUACAUACUGUCACGUUGAGAUUGGCGAGAUUGCUGCAAAUGAACUUUUUAGGAUAGAGCCAGAAAAUCCGGGCAAUUAUGUGCUUCUCUCUAAUAUUUAUGCUCGAGCACAGCUCUGGGAUAGAGUUAAAGAAGUAAGGCGCUUCAUGAGAGAAAGAGGUGUGGCCAAAGUGGCAGGAUUCAGUUCGAUAGAAGUGGACGAUAAGGUCCAUGAAUUCUUAAUGAGGGAUGCAUCUCACCCUCAAUGGCAAGAAAUAUAUGGAGUACUGGACUAUCUCUCAUUUGAACUGGAGUAAAGGGGAUAUUGUUCACUUUUAUUUCACUCCCUAGUUGGGUCAAGUGAGUUUGUUCCUUUAUGGUUUCUAUAGCAAUGCUGGGAAGUAAGUUUGCAGAAAUGAUACUGGGGAGAUUAGAGAAGCAAAACCGGUUCUACUUCAUGGGAUGCUGAACAUGUGUAUUUACCUACAAUAAUGUAAGUAGUCCAUUUGCUUAUAAAUUCACAGGUACUAUAUCGAUUUCAUGGCUUUAUCUAACGUAAUAGAUGUAUCUCAAAAAGUGAAUUAUACAAAACCUAUUUUGUUUAAAAAACUUUUGAUGAUUGCUUACUUUACGCUUUCUCAUAUGCUGUCUCAUACUUAUUUUGUACCAAAAUUUAGGUCUUAUACCUAGAUACAGUAAUCAACUGCACAUCCUGUGACAUGUUGCAAUGACAAGUGCAAUUACUAUUACACUUUUGAAAAUGCUGAAACAUCUAAAAGGAUGAUUACAGUGUAAAAUUAACCACCUAAAUAUUUAGCCUCUUGAACACUAGUGAAGAACAUAAAACUUCAUGUAAGAGUGAGUUGAAAGAUGUAGAACUUUGUGAUACGAAAAUACAUGUUUAAUUGCAUGUAGGAACUUGGACUUUUAAUGCAGACUUUCUACCAUUUGUGGAAGAGACAUGAAUGUUAACUUGUUAUGUCCGUAGCUCAAUAACUAAACAAUAACAUGGUAGCUAAACAAGAUGUUCUCUAAUCUUUCUGACAUUUUUUUAUGGUUAUCAAAAAUCUUAUGUGUUGACACUAUUGUCUGUAAGAUUGUAACGGAAAAUUCAAGGAGUUGAAUGCAAGUACACAACCGUAGUUUUAUAGGCAUACAAAGUUACAAACUACAAUUAUAUGGAAUGGAUGUUUCGUACGAUUUUUAUCAAAACCGUUUAAUGAACUUUUAAAAACUUACAUUUGGUUAAAUAUUUGGGAUGAUAUAACUUAAUAUUAGCAAAGGCUUGUGGCAUUUGGAGACAUGACUUAAAUUUGCAAAGUUACUCCUUUUACUUCCUAAGUAACCUAUAUGAACACAGCUCUUCAAAUCAUAUUGGACUAUGCUUCAAUAUAUCAAGUUGGAGUGUUGUUGGAAGUAAACAUGUUUCAUCUCUGUUAUUUACAUAAUAAAUGUUGCAAUUUUGGCAACUUUAUUGAAUUGCUUAUUAUUGUAAUCUGUCCAUUAUGACAACAAUGCUAGAGUGGCUUGUAUACAGUA